ensembl:miRNA Mir7044 microRNA 7044
CUCUUGUGUGGUGGUGGUGGCGGCCUCACUGUCAAUCCACUGCAGUACCUGAUGCAGCCCCGACCCUCACAG